ACUUUACCAUGCGGGCAACCGUGAUAAGGAAACCCCGAGUGCCAGCACAGGCUGGCUGUCCACCAGUGUAAAUAACUGGUGAAGAAAGGGCCGGGCAAGACCGGUGCCAGCCGCCGCGGUAAUACCGGCGGCUCGAGUGGUGGCCACUAUUACUGGGCUUAAAGGGUCCGUAGCUUGAUAUGCAAGUCUUUUGAGAAAUCCGCCGGCUUAACUGGUGGGCGUUCAGGGGAAACUGCAUUUCUAGGGACCGGGAGAGGUGAGAGGUACUGCCGGGGUAGGAGUGAAAUCCUGUAAUCCCGGUGGGACCACCUAUGGCGAAGGCAUCUCACCAGAACGGGUCCGACAGUGAGGGACGAAAGCUGGGGGAGCAAACCGG
rnacentral:rRNA from 1 species